AUUGAACGCUGGCGGCAUGCUUUACACAUGCAAGUCGAACGGUAACAGGCCUUCGGGUGCUGACGAGUGACGAACGGGUGAGUAAUGCAUCGGAACGUGCCCAAUUGUGGGGGAUAACGUAGCGAAAGUUACGCUAAUACCGCAUAAGCCCUGAGGGGGAAAGUGGGGGACCGGAAACGGCCUCACGCGAAUGGAGCGGCCGAUGUCAGAUUAGCUAGUUGGUGGGGUAAAGGCCCACCAAGGCGACGAUCUGUAGCGGGUCUGAGAGGAUGAUCCGCCACACUGGGACUGAGACACGGCCCAGACUCCUACGGAGGCAGCAGUGGGGAAUUUUGGACAAUGGGCGCAAGCCUGACCCAGCCAUGCCGCGUGCGGGACGAAGGCCUUCGGGUUGUAAACCGGACUUUUCAGCCGGAAGAAAUACGCUGUUUUUAAUACAGACAGUGAUGACGGUACCGGAAGAAGAAGCACCGGCUAACUACGUGCCAGCAGCCGCGGUAACACGAGAGUA
rnacentral:rRNA from 1 species